AAGUGGCUAUCAUUGGAGCACUCCAGCAUUUAAAUGUGAAUAAAACUUUUGUGUCUCAUACCAUCGCUCGAAGUGGACGGAUGAAGAAAGCAACAUCAGCAGAAAUGGUUCGAAAAGUAAAAAAAAACGACAUAUCGCAAUAUUCCAUUCGGCAAAUAUUGAAAAAUGAGCUCGGGGUAAAGCCAUUGAAAUUCCAAACAGUGCAAGAACUUACACUGCAACACAAAGAAAAUAGACUCAAAAGAGCUAAAGAGUUGCUUCGCUUGCACGAAAGUGGUGAACUGCCGAAUUUGGUUUUCUCCGAUGAGAAAACGUUCGUUGUCCAGCAGUUUGUAAACAAAC